GCUAAGCCGAUAUUAUUAGAAACUAUAUUAUUACCUUGAUUACCUAUAUAAGUGACUUUUAUGCGAUUAAAUCCGAGCUACGUUAAAUUGUCGUUGUCGAUAGGGAAGUGAAUAAAUAAAUAAGACCCCAAAAUUUAAAAUUUUAAUGUCCGAUACAUCCAACAAAAGUCCAACAAAAAUUUAAUUUAAUACAUCCUACGUUCUAAGCAAAUCGGAUACUUCAGCGCGGGCAGCCACGAGCUUGAACCGGGUUCUUUCCUACACCAAAUUAAACAAUAAAUAUACAAAUAAUAUAAUAAAGCAAAUUAAACAUAAAGAAAUGGAGUAGAUAAGAUUCGAUCCUGAAAGAUCAGAUUUUCGACAGCGGCAAUUAAUGCUGCAUUAAAUGAGAUGUCACAGUAAUCAUUUUUUUUUUCUCCGCCAAUUAAUUCUGCAUUAAAACCAUUCCUUCCCCCCCCCACUCCAUGAAUCUCUCCAUAUCUAUCAACCACCUCUCUAUAAUACUCUAUUCACAAAUCAGAUCUCACUUCUCUGCAAAUCUCCAAGAACUCACAAGAACAAGACCAAUUGUUCUCAACCUCUACUCAAUCGAACUCAAGAAAUCCAGAACUAAAAUCAGGGAAAGAUUCAUCAUCUAUUCUUUCACAAUCUGUCUGCAAAUUGAAGGGUGCUUUCGCAAGUAAAGUCGGAACGAAAGAUUCAAGUUAAGGAAUCUAAACGAUCAAGAUCUCACUUCUCUGCAAAUCUCCAAGAACUCACAAGAACAAGACCAAUUGUUCUCAACCUCUACUCAAUCGAACUCAAGAAAUCCAGAACUAAAAUCAGGGAAAGAUUCAUCAUCUAUUCUUUCACAAUCUGUCUGCAAAUUGAAGGUAUACAUAUCUCCCACCCAAUUUCAAUUUCAAUUUCAUACUACUGCAUUUAUACAUUACACUCUUCUGUUACCACAAUCUGCAAUAUACCUCCUAAUCGAAUUAAUCGAGGCAAACUGAAUUAAGGAAUCAAACUUUAAUUCACAAAAUUAAAAAUUAAGAACUCAUCUGGCGGGGUUGUUUCUGGGUGGAAUCGGGGCUGCCGGAGCGGCGACGCCAAACGAAGACGGCGGUGUACGCGGGGCGGCGAAUUGGAGCGGUAGCGGCUGAUCUGGGAGCAGCGGAGAAAAGAAGCACCGAAGUGCUGUAGGACAGAGAGAGAGAAUUGAAUUUGGGGAUCUUGUUCUUCCUUUUUGUGAGAGAAAUCGAGGGGGAAAGAGUGAAGAAAUGUGUGUGGUGUGUUCUUUGUUGAGUGUGCAAAGUUGGAGAAUUUGUGGAUGUGCUCUCUGGUUGGAGUUUUACAGUAGAGAGGGAGAGAGAGUCACGAUGGAAUUGGGGAAGGAAGUGCUUGAUUCUUUAUUAUUUAAUUUCUUAAUAUUUUGAAAAUAAAGAAUGGGAGUGUGAGUGUACGUGUACUUCAAUUCCUUUAUAAAAAAAUCCUCAAUAUUUUAAAAUGGAA